CCUACGGGGGGCAGCAGUGAGGAAUAUUGGUCAAUGGGUGAGAGCCUGAACCAGCCAAGUCGCGUGAAGGAUGACGGCCCUACGGGUUGUAAACUUCUUUUGUCAGGGAGCAAUUGGCUCCACGCGUGGGCUUAGCGAUAGUACCUGAAGAAAAAGCAUCGGCUAACUCCGUGCCAGCAGCCGCGGUAAUACGGAGGAUGCGAGGGUUCUCCGGCUUUAUUGGGUUUAAAGGGUGCGUAGGCGGAAUAUCAAGUCAGCGGUAAAAAUUCGGGGCUCAACCCCGUCGUGCCGUUGAAACUGAUGGUCUUGAGUGGGCGAGAAGUAGGCGGAAUGCGUGGUGUAGCGGUGAAAUGCAUAGAUAUCACGCAGAACUCCGAUUGCGAAGGCAGCAUACCGGAGCCCAACUGACGCUGAAGCACGAAAGCGUGGGUAUCGAACAGGAUUAGAUACCCGUGUAGUC
rnacentral:rRNA from 1 species